rnacentral:rRNA from 1 species
UACAGAGGUCUCAAGCGUUGUUCGGAUUCAUUGGGCGUAAAGGGUGUGUAGGCGGCUCUUUAAGUUUGGUGUGAAAUCUCCCGGCUCAACCGGGAGGGUGCGCCGAAUACUGAGGGACUCGAGUGCGGGAGAGGAAAGUGGAAUUCCUGGUGUAGCGGUGAAAUGCGUAGAUAUCAGGAGGAACACCGGUGGUGUAGACGGCUUUCUGGACCGUAACUGACGCUGAGACACGAAAGCGUGGGUAGCAAACAGG